AGGACGAACGCUGGCGGCGUGCUUAACACAUGCAAGUCGAGCGAGGCCCUUCCUUCGGGAAGGUGCCCUAGCGGCGAACGGGUGAGUAACACGUGGGCAACCUGCCCCUAGCACUGGGAUAAGCCCGGGAAACCGGGUCUAAUACCGGAUAUGACCUUCGAGGGCAUCCUUGAAGGUGUAAAGGAUUCUGGCUAGGGAUGGGCCCGCGGCCUAUCAGCUUGUUGGUGGGGUAAUGGCCUACCAAGGCGACGACGGGUAGCCGGCCUGAGAGGGCGACCGGCCACACUGGGACUGAGACACGGCCCAGACUCCUACGGGAGGCAGCAGUGGGGAAUCUUGCACAAUGGGCGAAAGCCUGAUGCAGCGACGCCGCGUGAGGGAUGACUGCCUUCGGGUUGUAAACCUCUUUCAGCAGGGACGAAGCGAAAGUGACGGUACCUGCAGAAGAGCACCGGCAACUACGUGCCAGCAGCCGC
rnacentral:rRNA from 1 species